CAAUGUAACUCUGAAUCUCCACUAAAUCCCCUUGAAUAGCUUCAAUCAUGGAAGUCAAAGCACUAAUGCUAAGAUCCAUUGGGAAAUAGAUGUCAUCAUAUCUCCUAUCAAGCCUCUCUUAAGUAGUUUCCAGAGCUCUGUAGAUCACUUUUACCAACUGAUCUAUCUCUUCCCUGGUAUGAAAAUCUGGUUGAGACUUCAUCGUAUGUGAGUGUGGUGGAUUUUCGUCGACCGAUGCUGGUAAGCGGUUGUCGAUCGAUGCAUGUAAGCGAC
rnacentral:lncRNA from 1 species